GAUGAACGCUGGCGGCGUGCCUAAUACAUGCAAGUCGAGCGAACUGAUUAGAAGCUUGCUUCUAUGACGUUAGCGGCGGACGGGUGAGUAACACGUGGGCAACCUGCCUGUAAGACUGGGAUAACUUCGGGAAACCGAAGCUAAUACCGGAUAGGAUCUUCUCCUUCAUGGGAGAUGAUUGAAAGAUGGUUUCGGCUAUCACUUACAGAUGGGCCCGCGGUGCAUUAGCUAGUUGGUGAGGUAACGGCUCACCAAGGAAACGAUGCAUAGCCGACCUGAGAGGGUGAUCGGCCACACUGGGACUGAGACACGGCCCAGACUCCUACGGGAGGCAGCAGUAGGGAAUCUUCCGCAAUGGACGAAAGUCUGACGGAGCAACGCCGCGUGAGUGAUGAAGGCUUUCGGGUCGUAAAACUCUGUUGUUAGGGAAGAACAAGUACAAGAGUAACUGCUUGUACCUUGACGGUACCUAACCAGAAAGCCACGGCUAACUACGUGCCAGCCGCCGCUGUAAAAC
rnacentral:rRNA from 1 species